UUAAGGCUUUUUAGACCUCGGCUUGUUGCUGUUAGGAAUGGUCAUUAGAUGAUGAGCUUUAUGAGGCUUUGGCUGAUGCUGAUAAACCUGUUAUUUUUCCUGACUAGCGAUGAGUUUAUAAGUUCACUCACCAUCCUGAUGCUAUGUGGUUGCAGGAAUAGUAGGUCCAAGGUUGUGCGAGCUCGAAACCUAUUGUUCCUGCAAUUGAAGCUUGACAUAGCAGCCUAUUCUGGCGUGUCAGCUUAGUUAUCAUCACCAUGCUUGGCCAAUAAAUAGAGUUAAUUGCCGGAGCCCGGAAGUCCUUUUGUGACUUUGUCCUUCCCUUAGCUCACAAAUACAAGGGAUUGAUAUGUUGGGAAAUGGAACCAGAUCUCGUUCAUCACGGGGAAGACUAACCGGUUGCAGAUCAGAUGUGUUUACGAGUUUGAUGGUUUUUAUUUUUUAAAAUUUUGAAAAUUAAUCGUGUAUUAUGGGCGGUUUUUGGGUCAGAAGAGGGGCGUUGGGGUCGGAGAUGGUUUUAGUGCCGGAAACGCUAGAAUGCAAUUAAUAUCAUUAAAAAUAAAAGUAGAUAAAAAAUGCAUUAAUAUAAUUAUUUGAAUUUGUGUGGAAGAAUGUUUUUUUGUGUGUUAUUUAUAACAUUGAAUUGAGUGCUAUCUGGAAUUUAUGUUAACAUGGAGGAUUUGUUGAACUUUUUCAAAAUGAAAACAAGGUAAUUUAGUGUUCUAGGGUGCAAUUGAAACUUGAAUAUACAAAAUAGGGUAAAAUUGGUGAUUUUCCGACAUCGAAAUAGAAUCGAAAAGGGGCUAAAAGGUCAUGUUUUUUAAGGCAUUAGACCUGUUUUUUUCACUGUAAGCAUCUGAUCCCUUUCAGGCUCCUUUUUCCAUGUGUAAUUCUGGAUAUCAAUAAUAUCUUGAGUUCUUCAUCCCAAUCAUAGUUAUAUUGAUACAUUUUGAAGAAUCUGGUUUUAACUUUUGAAUCACUUCAUUGUUGACAGGGAUUGACAUGUUGAUAAAUGGAAAGAUGUUGUAGUAGCUGAUGUUACCCUUUGUUAAAGCAUCUCAACCGGAAUGGGCAAAAACAUUACAGUAAAUUCUGCAACCCCUUUUAAUAAGGUUUCUUAUAGUGAAACACUGAAACCAUCACAUUAAGCUAUUUACAUCUAUUUUUAAUCAAGCUUUUCCUCCUCUGACAAGGGUUUUGUUUAUUUUUAUUGAAUUUCUUUGUUUGUUUGGAGCUGGCAUUAUUUAGAAAGCAACUCAUCCUCAAUCCAUCAUAAAAUUAUUCAUUUUUAUAUUAUUUGAUAACAAAUACAUAUUUUAUAUUUUCAUAUAUCAAACAUCUAUUUUUCUAUCAAUUGUUCGAAAUACAAUCAGCUUUUCUCAAGCCCGGCUUAAGCCGCACAGACUGUUUCUGGCAUCUAAGUCACUAUUAUUGACCUUCAAGCUGGCAAUGCCCAUGAACAUGUGCAUAUUGGGAAAAAGAUCAACACAACUUGACUUGAAUUAUGCUGUAAGUGAACAGAUGAUUGAAAGAGAUGUUAGCUUAGACAAGCAUGUACCAGUGAGCUUUUGAAUCGCAAGGCACCUAUCUAUUCUAUUGUUCCUUUAGCCUUCUUAUUUGGCUUGUUUAAUUUCAAAGUGUGUUAUUUUAUAUUUUUUUUUAUCUUAGAACCUGCUUCUAGGUGAACAUGCUGAUUUCAUUCAAAUUUGAGAUUAUUGCUUUAUAUUUGAAUUUUCCGAAUCUUUAUAAGUUGCAAUUAGAAUUGCUCAAGUUACAUGUCAAAUACAUCUCAGAAUAUUGGGUGCUUCCUAUAUGGCUGUAAUAUGCAGAGUUAUGUGCUAAUAACUCUUAUAGAGUUUGCCAUUUAAUUAAUCAAGUGCAUCAUAUAAGUCCAUCAAUAGCAAAGCAAGGACAAAAAUUUUCGUUUGUUUCCUGUUUUGCUUUAUUGUGGAGGUUUUUCAUUUUUGUUUGGCUUGUAGUUUUAGUGGAAGCCUAAAAGUUGUCAAUUAAAGCUUAUACAAGUUACCAGAGGUUCUGUGUCUUCUGUUCUACUGCGAGACAAACCACUGCUGAAGUGACGAUGCCUCAAGGCUCUCUAAAUCCAGAUAUACAAGAUGAAUGGAUUGACAUGUUGGCGAAUGGAAAGAUGUUGUAGUAGCUGAUGUUACCCUUUGUUAGAGCAUCUCAACUGGAAUGGGCAAAAACAUUACAUUUUGCAGAUUUCAGCAGGUCUGCGAGAAGUUGGGAAGUUUAUGAUACUCAGCAAAUUGCAGCUUCAGCUUAUUCGUUCUUCUGGAAAUUCAAGCUCUCUCCUCGCAUUCUCUUCUACUCGUGGUUGUUGGCAAGAGAUAGAAUAUCUUCUAAUACAGAGGUGUACUUUCUCCUUGCUUACUUUGUUCUCAUAUUUUUUUCAUUGUCGUUAUGCUCGACUUGUUUGGGGCAAACUUCUUCGUAUGUGUAACAUCUUUUCGGUUGGCCAUCUUCUUUGUUAUAGUUCUUUCAGUUUUGGGAUUCUCUUUCUCACAGGAGAUUUGAAGUUCUAUUGGCGGACAAUAUAUGGUUUUAUUGUGUUGGGAUUUGUGGAAAGUUAUAAAUAAAGCGGUGUUCAACAACAAAUACAUUGAGGUC